GAAAUGCGAUAAGUAAUGUGAAUUGCAGAAUUCAGUGAAUCAUCGAAUCUUUGAACGCACCUUGCGCUCCUUGGUAUUCCUUGGAGCAUGCCUGUUUAAGUAUCAUGAAAUCUUCAAAGUAAAUCUUUUGUUAACUCAAUUGGCUUCUACUUUGGUAUUGGAGGUCUUUGCAGCUUCACACCUGCUCCUCUUUGUUCAUUAGCUGGAUCUCAGUGUUAUGCUUGGUUCCACUCGGCGUGAUAAGUUAUCUAUCGCUGAGGACACUGUAAAAGGUGGCCAAGGUAAAUGCAGAUGAACCGCUUCUAAUAGUCCAUUGACUUGGACAAUACUUUUAUGAUCUGAUCUCAAAUCAGGUAGGACUACCCGCUGAACUUAAGC
rnacentral:misc_RNA from 1 species